rnacentral:rRNA from 1 species
AUCGAUUUUAUGCUUGCAUAAAUGAUUUUUGGAUUCGGAGCGAGUGGCGAACUGGUGAGUAACACGUGGGUAACCUGCCCCGAAGCGGGGGAUAACAUUUGGAAACAAGUGCUAAUACCGCAUAAUUAGUUGGAACCGCAUGGUUCCAACUUGAAAGAUGGCUCUGCUAUCACUUUGGGAUGGACCCGCGCCGUAUUAGUUAGUUGGUGAGAUAAAAGCCCACCAAGACGAUGAUACGUAGCCGACCUGAGAGGGUAAUCGGCCACAUUGGGACUGAGACACGGCCCAGACUCCUACGGGAGGCAGCAGUAGGGAAUCUUCCACAAUGGACGAAAGUCUGAUGGAGCAACGCCGCGUGAGUGAUGAAGGUUUUCGGAUCGUAAAACUCUGUUGUUAAAGAAGAACAAGUGUUAGAGUAACUGUUAACACUUUGACGGUAUUUAACCAGAAAGCCACGGCUAACUACGUGCCAGCAGCCGCGGUAAUACGUAGGUGGCAAGCGUUGCCCGGAUUUAUUGGGCGUAAAGCGAGCGCAGGCGGUUUUGUAAGUCUGCUGUGAAAGCCCUCAGCUCAACUGAGGAAGUGCAGUGGAAACUACAAAACUUGAGUACAGAAGAGGAAAAUGGAACUCCAUGUGUAGCGGUGAAAUGCGUAGAUAUAUGGAAGAACACCAGUGGCGAAGGCGGCUUUCUGGUCUGUUACUGACGCUGAGGCUCGAAAGCAUGGGUAGCGAACAGGAUUAGAUACCCUGGUAGUCCAUGCCGUAAACGAUGAAUACUAGGUGUUGGAGGGUUUCCGCCCUUCAGUGCCGCAGCUAACGCAUUAAGUAUUCCGCCUGGGGAGUACGACCGCAAGGUUGAAACUCAAAGGAAUUGACGGGGGCCCGCACAAGUGGUGGAGCAUGUGGUUUAAUUCGAUGCUACGCGAAGAACCUUACCAGCUCUUGACAUCUUCUGCCAACCCAAGAGAUUGGGCGUUCCCUUCGGGGACAGAAUGACAGGUGGUGCAUGGUUGUCGUCAGCUCGUGUCGUGAGAUGUUGGGUUAAGUCCCGCAACGAGCGCAACCCUUAUUAUUAGUUGCCAGCAUUUAGUUGGGCACUCUAGUGAGACUGCCGGUGAUAAA